rnacentral:lncRNA from 1 species
CGGGGAGUAGCGAGGAAGAUGACUAGAAGGGAGAGAAGGACAUUAAGCUACAGGAAGUUUCUAUAAGUUGCAAACAAGGUGAAGAGGAGGAUGCAAUGAGUCAAGCUGACAGUUUUGGAAAAGAUCAGUUCUGUCCUGCCUUGCAGCAAUCGCCACAAGCACAGGUUUCCAUCUUAUUGUUAACAUCUUACUAGCAUUUAAUGAUCACCUGCUACAAAACUCACCCAGGACUUGGAUAAUGAUGAAUAACUAGAAAGUAUGCCUAAAUGUUUCCUAAAUAUCUGGGCUGCUACACAACAAAGCUAUUUCAUUACCUCUGAAAGUAGAAAUAUGAUAUUAAAGAUAAAUUCAAAAACAAAAUGGCUUUAAAAUCUAAGCCAGUCUCCUGAAUUAAUGAUUUCAUAACCCAGUCACUUUGGCAGGUAUGUUCAAAUUCCACAUAAUGAACCUGA